GCGUGUACGACGCGAGCGCGCAGGCGGCGCCGGGAGGGGCGUGCGCGCUCCGCGGGGAGCGGCGGUGUGCGCACCUCUGUCUGCCGGUGGCGCCCGCCCGCUCCGUGUGCCGCUGUGCCGCGGGCUACGAGCAGGACGACGCGCGCUGCACACCGAGGGAUGACGUGCUCGUUUACUCCCUGAGCUGGGAGCUGCGCGGGCUGGCGUUGAACGAGAGCGGCGCCGACGAGCCGCCCGACGCUCUACCGCCGCUGCCGCAGGUUUCGUGCGCCAACGACAUCGACUACUAUGCAGAGGAAGAGUGGGUGUACUGGGCCGAUCCGGACGCGGGGGCGAUAUGGCGCCUCAAACGGGACGGCAACGAGCGCGAGCGCGUGGUGCGUCCGAGCGGGGAG